GGCAUGGUGUAGCCCGAUGGGUAAGGGUGGUAGCCGGGGAUACCCCGGUGGAACGGAUGUUGGUUCGAGUCCAACCCCAUGUCA
rnacentral:tRNA from 1 species